rnacentral:rRNA from 1 species
UACGAGAGGCCCAAACGUUAUUCGGAAUUACUGGGCUUAAAGAGUUCGUAGGCGGCGCGGUAAGUCGGGUGUGAAAUCUCGGAGCUUAACUCCGAAACUGCAUUCGAUACUGCCGUGCUUGAGGACUGGAGAGGAGACUGGAAUUUACGGUGUAGCGGUGAAAUGCGUAGAUAUCGUAAGGAAGACCAGUGGCGAAGGCGGGUCUCUGGACAGUUCCUGACGCUGAGGCACGAAGGUCAGGGGAGCAAACGGG